rnacentral:rRNA from 1 species
AUGGCGCCUACCCCGGCGGGUGCGCCGCUUGGUCAUGAGGACCAGGCGGGCACGCUAGCUGGUCCUGCCGGGGGAGGCCAGGAGGUCCAGGGGUGCGUGACCAGGCUGGAGUCGCGCCAGAAUGCGGAGGUUGACCAAAGUCAGCAUUGUUAUGAUGUUGUACAUGCCCAAAGUACACAUGCAGGUCACGUGGCCAUGAUUUCUCACGCUCAAGUGAUGGCCAGGAAAACUCCAGUGGAUGGAGAUGAUGCUGGCGAGCUUUUUUUUCAGCCGGGAGUGUUGGAGGCGUUGUCUAGCGCUGUUGCAGCGAAAAUCGCUAUGGCCGGCGGUGAUACAUUGAAUAAUGCUCUACCCUUUAAAUUCAGUGCAGCAAAAAAUCCUAUGCGGGGCAACUCAGAAAAGAAAGAUAAAAAGAAAGGGGGGGCAAACAGAGUUGAAGAUGCCCGCAAGCAAGUGAUAGGGAAAAAAUAG